GGCCUCUCUCCCAUGGGGCUGUAGGGAGGUCUUUUUCUCCUCAGCCAGGGCUGGAGGCCCUGAGGAUCACCACUGGUACUGCCACAAGCUGGGCAACCCUGUUUUCCUACCUCAGACAUCU